GGGAAUUUUCCGCAAUGGGCGAAAGCCUGACGGAGCAAUACCGCGUGAGGGAAGAAGGUCUGUGGAUUGUAAACCUCUUUUGUUAGGGAAGAUAAUGACGGUACCUAACGAAUAAGCAUCGGCUAACUCCGUGCCAGCAGCCGCGGUAAGACGGAGGAUGCAAGCGUUAUCCGGAAUUAUUGGGCGUAAAGCGUACGUAGGCGGUUUUAUAAGUCUGUUGUCAAAGCCCGAGGCUUAACCUUGGAAAGGCAAUGGAAACUGUAAGACUAGAGAGAGAUAGGGGCAGGAGGAAUUCCAGGUGUAGCGGUGAAAUGCGUAGAUAUCUGGAAGAACACCAGUGGCGAAGGCGCUCUGCUGGGCCAUAACUGACGCUCAUGGACGAAAGCCAGGGGAGCGAAAGGGAUUAGAUACCCCUGUAGUCAAUCGAA
rnacentral:rRNA from 1 species